CAGGUCUUGACAUCCCAAUGACGAGUGAGUAACGUCACUUUCCCUUCGGGGCAUUGGAGACAGGUGGUGCAUGGUUGUCGUCAGCUCGUGUCGUGAGAUGUUGGGUUAAGUCCCGCAACGAGCGCAACCCUUAUCUUUAGUAGCCAGCAAGUAAAGUUGGGCACUCUAGAGAGACUGCCGGGGAUAACCCGGAGGAAGGUGGGGAUGACGUCAAAUCAUCAUGCCCCUUAUGAUCUGGGCUACACACGUGCUACAAUGGCGUAAACAGAGGGAAGCGAACCCGCGAGGGGGAGCGAAUCCGAGAAAUAACGUCCCAGUUCGGAUUGUAGUCUGCAACCCGACUACAUGAAGCCGGAAUCGCUAGUAAUCGCGGAUCAGAAUGCCGCGGUGAAUACGUUCCC
rnacentral:rRNA from 1 species